CCUACGGGUGGCAGCAGUGGGGAAUAUUGCACAAUGGGGGAAACCCUGAUGCAGCGACGCCGCGUGAGUGAAGAAGGAUUUCGGGAUGGAAAGCUCUAUCAGCAGGGAAGAAAAUGACGGUACCUGAGUAAGAAGCCACGGAUAACUACGUGCCAGCAGCCGCGGUAAUACGUAGGGGGCAGGCGUUAUCCGGAGUUACUGGGUGUAAAGGGAGCGUAGAGGGCUGCACCAGUCUGGAGUGAAAUGCCGGGGCUGACCCCCGGAACUGCUUUUGAAACUGUGCAGCUAGAGUGCAGUAGAGGUAAGUGGAAUUCCUUGUGUAGCGGUUACAUGCGUAGCUAUUAGG
rnacentral:rRNA from 1 species